rnacentral:rRNA from 1 species
GAUGAACGCUGGCGGCGUGCCUAAUACAUGCAAGUCGAGCGAACGGACGAUAAUCUUUCUUCUCUGAUGUUAUCGGCGGACGUGUGUGUAACACGUGUAUAACCUACCUAUAAGACUUUUAUAACUUCGGGAAACCGGAUCUAAUCCCGUUUAAUAUUUUGAACCUCAUGGUUCAAUAGUUUAAGACGGUCUUUCUUUCACUUAUAGAUGUAUCCGCGCUGCAUUAGCUAGUUGGUAAGGUAACGGCUUACCAAGGCAACGAUGCAUAGCCGACCUGAGAGGGUGAUCGGACAAACUGGAACUGAGACACGGUCCAGACACCUACGGGAGGAAGCAGUAGGGAAUAUUCCGAAAAGGGCGAAAGCCUGACGGAGCAAAGCCGCGUGAGUGAUGAAGGUAUUAGGAUCGUAAAACUCUGUUAUUAGGGAAGAAAAUAUGUGUAAGUAACAGUGAACAUCUUGACGGUAACUAAACAGAAAGCCACGGCUAACUACGUG